AUUUCAUUGAAAUAUGGAAUUGAUGCGAUUUAUGGAAUUCAUGGAGAGAUCACGUAGCUUAUUGUACUAUACAAAUUCAAAGCCACAUGCAUAAUUAACAAUGAUUAAGGUACGGAGCACCUGCGAACACCCCUAGUUUUUGGUGGGGUUCGUGUUACUUAUUAUUCAGUUUUCAAUGUUGUGUCAUGUGUACUAGUGUUUUUCUGUUUGUCUUUUUUCAUUUUUAGCCAUGGAGUUGUCGGUUUGUUUUCGAUUUAUGAGUUUGACUGUCCCU
rnacentral:lncRNA from 1 species